UUCCCGUCAAUGACGGGAAAUAAUUGGGAAGUUCGUAAAAACGACGCUGACUCGCAACCGUGAAGGGCGUUGCGCCAGCCGUAUGCCACUGUGCCGUGCACGGGAAGGCGGCGGCGUGUUCAAGCCCCAAGCCGGGAAACCAGCCUCCU
rnacentral:ncRNA from 1 species